rnacentral:rRNA from 1 species
UAAGGAGGGUGCAAACGUUAAUCGGAAUUACUGGGCGUAAAGCGCACGUAGGCGGGCCGUUAAGUGGGGUGUGAAAGCCCUGGGCUCAACCUGGGAAUUGCAUUCCAAACUGACGGGCUAGAGUGUGGUAGAGGGGGGUAGAAUUCCCUGUGUAGCGGUGAAAUGCGUAGAUAUAGGGAGGAAUACCUGUGGCGAAGGCGGCCCCCUGGACCAACACUGACGCUGAGGUGCGAAAGCGUGGGGAGCAAACAGG